UUUAAAUUUAAAUGUCAGUUUAUACUGAACUGUGUUGUUGUAUUUAUUGAGAUGAGAUCAAAUCAUCACAAAAUGUUUCCUUCUCUUUAGUUUUGUUCCUGAUCAGACAAAACCUUCAGAAAAAAUCUGGUUCUUUGGGAAUCUGUUGUGUGCAGCAGCAGAGAGAGAACAGCAGACAGGAGAGAAGAUACUGGAGCUGUUAUCAUCAGUGUGCACAUAUGGAACAUUCCCUUUUGGUAACAGAUACAUGCAUCAGGAAUCUCAGUGUGGUUUCCUGCUGGAUCUGUACUCCCACCUGAAGGACUAUGAGACUGAAACUGGUCUGAGAGUCCUUCCAUCAUUACAGUCAGUUUUCCAGUCAGCUCCUGCAGUCUGGUCCAUAAACCUCUCAGAGAGAAAGAGCUCCAUCCUCCUGGAAGUGCUGAAACUCACAUCAGAGAAGAAACAAGUGAAGCUGACAGGCUGCUCACAUGAAGAGAGUGAAGUGAGGAGUUUCCUACAGUGUCUGCCUUAUAUCUCACAGCUCAGUGUCUCUCUGCAGUUUAAAGGUGAAGUCGAGUUCUUUGGGAAUCUGUUCUGUGCAGCAGCAGAGAGAGAACAGCAGACAGGAGAGAAGAUACUGGAGCUGUUAUCAUCAAUGUGCACAUAUGAAACAUUCCAUUUUGAUGACACAGAUGAUGACGAUGAUGAUGAUGAUGAUGAUGAUGAUGAGAAAGAUCAAUUUGGUUUUCUGCUGGAUCUUUGCUCCUACAUAAAAGACAAAGAGACUGAAACUGGCCUGAGAGUCCUUCCAUCAUUACAGUCAGUUUUCCAGUCAGCUCCUGCAGUCUGGUCCAUAAACCUCUCAGAGAGAAAGAGCUCCAUCCUCCUGGAAGUGCUGAAACUCACAUCAGAGAAGAAACAAGUGGAGCUGACAGGCUGCUCACAUGAAGAGAGUGAAGUGAGGAGUUUCCUACAGUGUCUGCCUUAUAUCUCACAGCUCAGGUAAGUCAGACAGAUAAUGUAGAUAUCUUGUAAUAAUCCACCUCAUAAUUGUCAGAGUUUUGACUGUAAUUUGCAUAUUAACAUUUAGAUGAAGCUGAAUUCUGUUUCUCUCUUCAGUAUUUCUUCAGGAGUAUUUUAACAUAAUGUGAUAUUAUCACACAGUUAGAUGAUUUCAUCCUGUCUGUUUUCUAAAUGUCAUUCUGAACAACAUGGUCCAUCAGCUGGUUUGUAAUGCAGCAUGUUUCUGUUUUCACUCCUCUUCCAUGAUAUUGUGUUUAGUGGUGAUCCAGAGUUCUUCCAGCGUGUGUUCACAUUAAUCUGUGUGAGAUCCAGAGAGGAGGCCGAGCAGUUGGCCUCUCUGCUGCAGCUCCUGGGCUUCAGCCUGCAGUUAACAGGAGAGUUGGGCUGGAAAACCUGCAGGUCUGUGGGAAGAGUUCUCAGACUCUGUGGUUCUGAUGUGGAUCUGGUCCUCACACCCAGAAGGAUCUCUGUCAGAGGAGCCUCCCUCCUCUUUAGACAUACAACUCAACUACACCGUCUGAGGUUUGCAUGUCUAUAUUUAAUGUUGUUCCUGUAACACCGUCUUGUCCAGUUUGAAUGUCCAGUUAGUGGUGAACAUCAUCAUGUCACAGCUGCUUCUUCUCUCCCUCUCUUUGACCUUCAGGCUUUCCAAUGGUGCGGCCUUGUUUCUGUCUCAGUGGGUCAGAAGAAAGAGAGUGGCCUGUCUGUUGGCUGUUGAGGAGCUUUCUCUUGCCCCUCAGAGAGGUCUACCAUCAGAAAGAGUUCUGUUGAAGGUGGUCAGUAGUUUGGCGUCCCUGCUGAGAUACUGGACAGUCAGCCGGUUGGACCUGACUGAGUUCUGUGGUUCUGCUCAGAGUCUCGUUCCACUGCUGCUUCAUGAUGGUCCUCUGACAAUCAAGUGAAAGUCUUUCCUGAGCUUCAGAAACAAUCUAAUGAAUGAAAAUGUAUAAAUCAUUUACUCUCUAAGAUACACUCAUACAUUUCUAUCUGCAGACUGAGUGAGAAGAUUUCCCAGGAGCUCCUCUUCCUCCUCCAGGACGUCCAGGACCAGAACUUGACCUGCUCCUUCUUUAAUAAGGUUGGUGGAGACCUGAGCUCGUGUUCUCUGAACUGGGAGGUUCUUCACUAUCUGCUGCAGCAGCCGUCAGCUCAGACCAUCACUGUGAACCUGAGGAAGAACCGCUUCUUACAGGAGAACAUCAGACGUCUGCUUCCCUUUCUGGAGAAGAUUGUAUUUAAAAGGUUCUUAGUUGGUUUUUUACCUUUUUACCAGAUCCAGACAUCAGUUUAUCUUGUUUAACCAUCAGUUAUUUAAUUCUUUGCCUAAUCAAAGUGUUCUGGUGAAUACACUUUAUAUUUUCAGGCCCUGUCCCAGCUUUGUGUUGACUGUCAUCACAGAGAUCUAUCACACUCGAGCCAGUCCCUUUAUACCCAGUUUACUGAGGUCACUGGAUAAUGUGAUCAACCUGACCUGCAGAGAGAUGAACUCAGUGGACUGUGCUGCUCUGCUCUUCACCCUCCAACACUCUGACAGAGUUAAACUGAAGCUCCUCUGGACCUCCAUACCAACAGAGGAGAUGGAGUCCUUCCUCUUUACACUGGACAGAGUUUCUCAGCUCAGGUGAGAUAUCAGUGUUUGUUCUUCAGUGUAUCUGUCUUCUUCAACACACAGGACAUAAUGCACCUCUCCACA
rnacentral:lncRNA from 1 species